GCUCUACGCAUGCGCUCCUACCUGAGCCGAGCCUACAAUCCAAACCUCCCUCGCCCAACUCUGCCCGCCACAGAUGCCCCUGGGCUCCCCUCCAGACCCUGCCCCGCAUCCCCGCCAGCCUGAAGCUCCUGCGCACCUGGGCUGGGGGAGCCGGUCGGCACCCCCGGAGUCGGAGCAUCACCGCCGCUCGGAGUUGCCACAGCGACGGGGAGGAUCUCGAUGGAGACAGCAUCCCCCGGCCCCCGCAGAAUACGGAUUAACCCCUUCUCCUCCAGCUCCUCCACCUUCAGCUCCAGGGCCGAGGGCCGCGUCGGGGCAGCGGGAGGCGCUUUCUCAGGCUCUGGGGGACGCCUGGAGGGCCCCAUGGCGGUCGAUUCGCUGAAGCGCUCCUACGAACCCCACGGGAGGGGUCAGUGCCCACCAGCAGGCUCCUUGGCACCAAGCCUCCAUCUUCUUCCCGGGGUGGAGGGAGAUGUCAAGCCUAGAAGCCUCAGCUGGCCUGUUCUUGGGCGCCUGGCCUACCACCCGCCCCAGCCUCACCCGCAGGGUCUCCAACUCCUUGCGCGCCUGGCUUAGCUGUUUUUCCAGUUCUGCAAUCUUGGCCAUGGAUUCGUUCUCCGCGUCCCGAAGCCGCUCUGUCAGCUGUAGCACCAGCACAUGUUCCUCCAUGUGCUCCAGCACAGCGUUCUUGGUCUCUGUGUCCUCCAGCAGCGCCCCCACAUCAAAAAUAUUGUCCAGGUACGCCUGGAUCUGCACCUGCAGCUUGUCACUCUCGAUGGCAAAACUGACACUGAGAGAGAGGAAGAGGCCUAUCCAAGGUCACACGGCAGGCAACGGCAGAGCCAGGAUUUAAACCCAGGUCUACCUGACCCCAGCACUCAUGCUGCUAACCACUCAGCCAUACUCUGCCGUGGGCAGGCAGUUCAGUCUGGGGGGCAGUACAGGGCUUACCUCCAAGUACAGGUCCAGGCCCAAGUGGGUGAACUCAUAUUGCAGGAAGACACGGAAGUUCAUGUUCUCCACCGAAUGUACCACAAUGUUGAUGAACUGCAUGCAGGCCACCUGGGAGCCAGGGACAUGGGGAGAUCUAUGAUCCUCUAGGUGGGGUUGCUCAAUGCCUUCCACCUCCACUUACCCCAAGCCUCCCUCCUUCUCCACAGUUCUCACUCCACUAACUCCCAGCCUUGGCCUGCCCAACAUUUCACCUCCAUGUUCCCUCAAUCCAGCCCCCUGCCAACAUCCACCCUUCCCCUACUGACCACUCAGUCCUUACGCUUUGCGGGGGCAGAGCCCAUUGCCCAGCACCCAGGACCCUAGCUGCUCCCUGCACCCAAGAGGGCCUGGCCCAGGCCUCAGGCUGCUGGGCUCCUGAGCUCACCAUGAAGUCGAUGUUGCUGUCCUCAUUCCGGAAAUAUUCCAUCAGCUUUUCAAAGCGGUGCUGCUCCCCACACACCUGGGUAAGGGGAAUGGCUCUCACUGAGGCCCAGUGACACACGUCCUAAGCUACCUUCUGGCUGCCACACCUGUGCUUCAACAGGCUCCUCUCCAGUUAAUUCUAAGUUGAGCCACGUCACUCUUCUGCUCAAAACCUCCACUCCCUCUCAAUCUCCCACUCUCCCUCACUUUUUCCACUCUGGCCACACUGGCAUCCUGGCACAUUCCCACCCCAGGGCCUUUGCACUUACUGUUCCAACUCCCUGGAGUGCCCUCACUCCCACACCAAGUCCCUUGCUUCCUUCACAGCUUUGCUGAAAUCUCACUUGCUCAGUGAGGCCUUCCCUGACCACCCUGCAACCAAUUCCCCCUCCCUCUGCAACAUUGCUGGCUUUUUUCUCACAGCAUUUAUCAUUUCCUAACAUACUAUGUAAUUUGCUUGUUUAUUAUAUCGUUUCUGUCUUUCCCUAUAUGGUUUCCUUUGUUCACUGAUGUGCCCAAGUGCCCUGUUCCUGACACAUAGUAGGCACUCAAUAAAUAUUCAUUAAAGGAAUGAAUGAAUGAA
rnacentral:lncRNA from 1 species